rnacentral:rRNA from 1 species
GGUUCAAUUGGGGGACUGUUNAAACUUGGAGUCCAGGAAGAGAAAANGUGGAAAUUCCUAGUGUAGCGGUGAAAUGCGUAGGGGAUUAGGAGGNACAACCAAUUGGCGAAGGCGGAUUUNUGGCCUGUAACUGACACUGAGGCGCGAAAGCGUGGGGAGCAAACAGGAUUAGAUAACCCUGGUAGUCCACGCCGUAAACGAUGAGUGCUGAAGUGUUGGUCUCAUAAGAGAUCAGUGCUGCAGCUNACGCAUUAAGCCCUCCGGCCUGGGGAGUACGACCGGCAAGGUUGAAACUCAAAGGAAUUGANCGGGGACCCGCACAAGCGGUGGAGCAUGUGGUUUAAUUCGAAGCAACGCGAAGAACCUUACCCAAGUCUUGACAUACUGUGAGGACACAAGAGAUUGUGUUGUUCUGACCUUUGGUUAGACACAGAUACAGGUGGUGCAUGGUUGUCGUCAGCUCGUGUCGUGAGAUGUUGGGUUAAGUCCCGCAACGAGCGCAACCCUUAUAUCUAGUUGCCAGCAGUAAGAUGGGGACUCUAGAUAGACUGCCAGUGAUAAACUGGAGGAAGGUGGGGAUGACGUCAAAUCAUCAUGGCCCUUAUGAGUUGGGCUACACACGUGCUACAAUGGAUGUGUACAGAGGGAAGCGAGCUUGCGAGCUUGAGCGAAUCUCACAAAGUUCUUCUCAGUUCGGAUUGUAGUCUGCAACUCGACUCCAUGAAGUUGGAAUCGCUAGUAAUCGCGAAUCAGAAUGUUGCGGUGAAUACGUUCCCGGGUCUUGUACACACCGCCCGUCACACCAUGGGAGUGGGUUGUACCAGAAGUAGAUAGCUUAACCUUCGGGGGGGCGUUUACCACGGUAUGAUUCAUGACUGGGGUGAAGUCGUAACAAGGUAACCGUAGGGGAACGUGCGGCUGGAUCACCUCCUUC